GGCAAAUCCACGCAUUUCUCGGCCGAAUGUUGGUUCGACGACACAUGUAUCCUCGACAUGGACUACUUUGUCAAGACACUUUCCGGUAUUAAAGCCAAAGGUGUCCGUCCUGAACUCAUUGGCUCAAUUAUCACUCACUACGCUUCUAAAUGGCUCCCUGACCUUUCUAAUGACGAAGGUUCAGAUGUUUUUACCAGCCAGAAAGAUUUUGAGGACUCAC
rnacentral:misc_RNA from 1 species